GUAGGUGAACCUGCGGAAGGAUCAUUACCAAAUCCAAAAAAAAACUUUAUCAACACCCAAUGUGAACUGAGAGUGGUUUCGUUCCCUCCAAAAGGGCAGAAAAUUUUUAUAUAUAUAUAUAUUUUUUUUGCCGGGCGGAGGGAAUGCUUUUUUUUUUCAACCCCUUUACAACUAUACAACCAUUUCUUUUAUGCUGAAAGCAAAACAAAAAACGAAACAUGAGACAACUUUUAACGGUGGAUCUCUUGGCUCGU
rnacentral:misc_RNA from 1 species